rnacentral:misc_RNA from 1 species
UACGGAGGGUGCAAGCGUUGCUCGGAAUUACUGGGCGUAAAGCGGGCGCAGGCGGCCACGCAAGUCGGUUGUGAAAGCCCGGGGCUCAACCCCGGAAUUGCUGCCGAAACUGCAUGGCUUGAGUACGAGAGAGGGAAGCGGAAUUCCUGGUGUAGAGGUGAAAUUCGUAGAUAUCAGGAGGAACAUCAGCGGCGAAGGCGGCUUCCUGGCUCGAUACUGACGCUCAUGCCCGAAAGCGUGGGGAGCAAACAGG